AUUAUACUCCCUCCGUCCCAAAAUAAGUGACUCAACUUUGUACUAACUUUGUACUAAAGCUAGUACAAAGUUGAGUCACUUAUUUUGGGACGGAGGGAGUACUUG
rfam:Triticum aestivum genome assembly, contig: Triticum_aestivum_CS42_TGACv1_scaffold_094350_2AL